AAUACCAUAAGAGGAAUUCUGGACUGAAGAGUUAUGAAGUCAUUUCAGACACUUCCAGACAAUUUGUGUUAAUUAAAUUCUCACUGGUUGAGUUCCAUUCUACACUGGAAGAGCAUUUUUCCUGGAAAGGCUCCUCAAAAUGGACACCAUCAAGAGUCACCUCCUCAGUGAAGCCUUCCAUGGUUUCAUACCACCCAUCCCUAUCGGAAUGAAUGUAUCCUUGUUCUCCGUUAUCCCAGUAUUUUGCCUGGGCUUCUGUCACACUACUUUCAAUGUCUAUACCUCAGUUAUCGAAUCGAAAAACAAGAGUCAUCAGUCUCUAAGGUCCUUGCAAGCUUCAAAACUUUAUAUUUUUGUCAAUUACAACUGAAUAAAGCUGAACAACUUAUUAUUUAUG
rnacentral:lncRNA from 1 species